AUGUCGUUACUCUAAACACUCAUUCAUCUCCUUUCACCGUGUAUCCCACAUUCCUCUCUCUUUCUCUGUAUCUCUAGUUUUUUUAAGCCAAUCUCAAUCCCCGAACGAAGAUACCUACGACCCUCCAUUUUCAUUCACCUCUAAAACCCUAAACCCCAAUGACGAAAUCAAGGGAAUAGUCAGAAUGAAGCUUCAUCGAAAUCGAAGGAAGUCUUGGGUUUUCCACUGAAGAAGAAGAAGUGGCAACGAUUGUUCUCGCCAGAUUAAUUUAGAUAAAAGAUAUGCUUACAUUCUCAAGCUCUUUGAAAACAAUUCAAGCUGCCUGCCAAAGUGGUGCAAUGAUGCGGACACCGUGAAGCUCCCUUUCUGCCAAAUUCGAGGGAAGUAUCAAAUGGAUCCAUACCCUCAUAUGAAUGAAAGGUGCCCAUCUCUUCCCCCAAAAUACUCUAGGCCUAGGGGUUGCUAAAACGUCUUCUGAUUUGGUUGUCCCGUUUUGGAGUUUUUAUACCACUGCUUUGUAUAAUAUUAGGUUUUUGUAUUAUUGAUUUUUCUGUAUAUCUUUCUGAUGCAAAGGUUUGAAAGAUUCCAAAAUGAUCAGUCAAUGUAGGUUAAAGUUGUCUGUAAAUUUGCUACCACGAUACGCAUGGAGAGUAAUGUUAAUUUCAUUGCUGUUUAUAGCACAAUUAAAAAGUUAGAAUUUGGAAAUUUCAUUGUUCUUUAGGCUUUUGGAGUCCAUGUCAUAUGUUGAAAUUGCAUCCAGAGCUGAAAUCAAGGUUUCUAUUGCCUUAACACUACACUAUUGUUCUUUUUGUUGUGCAGAAUAAAAUAGAUAAAUAAGAGGAGAGAAAAGAAAGCUAUUGAAAUUCUGAUUUUUUGUUAUUUACAUCUUGAUAAUCAGCUACAAGAUGAUGCUUAGACAUUUUUCUUUGGAGCACUCAGUAUGAUGUUAGUGGGUUAUUAUGUUAGGGUUAGUACAACGGGGCAUUCAACGUUUCUCCAUAAGCUUGAAUGCCAAACGUCCCUCUAGAAACCUGAAAGUACAUCCACUUGAGCUAUGCUCAAAUUCAGAUGAUGCUUGAGAAUUUAUAGAAGAUGACAUUUCAAAAGGAAAACUUAGACCUGAGAGUUUAUAUCAGAUAGAUAGCAACCUAGUUGGUGCAGAGUCCUUGAUACUGUAGCUGGUUUUGAUUAAUUCAAUUCUUGUGGUUAAUUUAGGAGCUUUGAUUUUAUUGCUAUCACUAGAUUAACUAUUUUAGUAUGAGAAUGGAACUGGUUGGUAUUAGCCUUACUGGUGAAUGGGACUGGUUGAAAUUCUGUUUCAAUAGCAUUAAAUCAUUUUUUGUUUUUCACCUCAUGAUUCAUUUGAUUAAAUUUAGUUUGAGAUCAACUCGAAAUAUAAACAAGCCAAGUUCAUUAGUUCAUUAAGUUUUCAAGUCAAACUUGCACAACUUAUUUAGUAAGUUCAACUUGACUCGUUUACAAGGUUCUAUGUAGAAGUGUUAGACAUAAGAGCAAUGCUAGCCUACGUGCACGAGAAAAAAAUUCACACACAAAUAUGCACACUUAAAAAUGAACAAAACACAACACAAAUUCAUUUUUUUCAUACGCUUUUGUUUAUACUUCUCUGUGCACUACCAUUAUUGUUAGAAGAAGAAUAAAGAGAUCAAAUAGAAGAGACAUUUAAAAGAUGGUCUGAUAAUGAAAUUUGAUACCAAGACAAAAAAGCAGUGGUACAUAAAGAAUGAGGUCCAUCAAUGAGUCAUGAAAAUAGACCUCAUUCAUUCUAUACAAUCUCCAUCAAGGUUGGAGAUAAAUUGAUUUAAAAAGUAGCCAAGAAGUUAACCCCAAGGGGUUGGCCUGGUAGUAAGGCCUUAGGUCUUGGAGUUGUGCUCCCUCCAAGAUUCAGGGAUCGAAAUCUCUUAAGUGCUAACAAUUCAUUGAGGCCAUCAGAUUGGAAGAAAACCCUUGCAUUAACCCUGAUGCACUUGCAAGAAAUUUCUUGCCGAGUGCCUAUGCACCCUUCGGAUUAGUCAAGCUUUGAUCCAGAUAUUCUGGUGCCAAUCAAAAAAAAAAAAAAA